AAUCAACGCUGGCGGCGUGCCUCAGACAUGCAAGUCGAACGCGAAAGUCCCCUUCGGGGGAUGAGUAGAGUGGCGUCCGGGUGAGUAACACGUAGGUAAUCUACCUUUGGGUGGGGAAUAACCCCGAGAAAUCGGGGCUAAUACCGCAUAAUGCAGCGGCACCACAUGGUGACAGUUGUUAAAGCGGGGGAUCGCAAGACCUCGCGCCUAAAGAGGAGCCUGCGGCGGAUUAGCAGUUGGUAGGGUAACGGCCUACCAAGGCAACGAUCCGUAGCCGGCCUGAGAGGGCGGUCGGCCACACUGACACUGAAAUACGGGUCAGACUCCUACGGGAGGCAGCAGUCGGGAAUUUUGGGCAAUGGGCGAAAGCCUGACCCAGCAACGCCGCGUGAAGGAUGAAAUCCCUCGGGAUGUAAACUU
rnacentral:rRNA from 1 species